AAGGGUUUUGAACUCGGCAGUCAUGUUGUGUGAUUUUUCUUUCUCUUUUUCUCGUGCAUCACGUAUACUCUGGGGGUUAAUUUCACUCUUUUGACUCUUUUUCUACUCAAAGGAUAACAAAGGGUUUUGAACUCGGCAGUCAUGUUGUGUGAUUUUUCUUUCUCUUUUUCUCGUGCAUCACGUAUACUCUGGGGGUUAAUUUCACUCUUUUGACUCUUUUUCUACUCAAUUUUUUUUUGCGAGCAUUUUAUAGGUGUUAGAGUCUUAAGUCUCGGCAAGUGCAUUUUUU
rnacentral:lncRNA from 1 species